UACGAAGGGGGCUAGCGUUGUUCGGAAUUACUGGGCGUAAAGCGCACGUAGGCGGAUUGUUGAAGUGAGGGGUGAAAUCCCAGGGCUCAACCCUGGAACUGCCUCUCAUACUGGCAAUCUCGAGUUCGAGAGAGGUGAGUGGAAUUGACGAGUGUAGAGGUGAAAUUCGUAGAUAUUCGCAGGAACACCAGUGGCGAAGGCGGCUCACUGGCUCGAAUACUGACGCUGGAGGUGACGAAAGCGUGGGGAGCAAACAGG
rnacentral:rRNA from 1 species